CAUCAAGAAGCUAUAAUAGCAUUAACCUUUUAAGUUAAAGACUGAGAGCAAUAAACUCUCCUUGGUGG
rnacentral:tRNA from 1 species